rnacentral:rRNA from 1 species
UACAGAGGGGGCAAGCGUUGUUCGGAAUUACUGGGCGUAAAGGGCGCGUAGGCGGCCCGCUAAGUCGAACGUGAAAUCCCCGAGCUCAACUCGGGAACUGCGUCCGAUACUGGCGGGCUUGGAUCCGGGAGAGGGAUGCGGAAUUCCAGGUGUAGCGGUGAAAUGCGUAGAUAUCUGGAGGAACACCGGUGGCGAAGGCGGCAUCCUGGACCGGCAUUGACGCUGAGGCGCGAAAGCUAGGGGAGCAAACGGG